GGGGGAUUUUUUUUCCUUUUUUUCUUUAAAAUUUUCCAUUUUAAAUUGGUUAUUUCUGAUUUAUAUAUAAAAGCAAAUAAUAAUGAUAUGGUUUGAAUAGGUAAAUUAAAAAAAAUUAAGUUCUUAGACCACAUUCAAUCUGUGUGAGAAACCUAUGCUGUGUCAAAUAUUUAAUCACAAUCCAAAUUCAGUGCUGUAUCAAGCUUGAAUGUUGUGUCCAUACUUGCCCCAACUGUUCAGGGUUCGACGUCUGCGGUCGUAUCAAGCUGAGCCCAGUGGAGCAUUUUAUUAUAUAUUGAGGUUAUCAUUUUAAUAUAUUGUGCUUAACAUUUUAAUAUAUUGUGCCUAAAAUUUUAAUAUAUUAAAGACAUAUGAAACUUAAAAUUUAAAAAAAAAGUUGAAUAUGUUUUAUAUACUGAAAUGUCUAAGUUUAACUAUAAAACAAGUGAACCUGAACUUUCUUGUAAAAGAAAAUCUUUUAUAUUAUCAAAAUCUUCCUAAAUGUACUGCUAUUGAAUUAUAAUCUUCACAUACUUUAAUUCCCGGAUAUUUUCCUGUAUGCAGUAACCUUAACCAUGAGACCUCUCGUUAGAACUUCGGUCGCCACACAGCACAAGUGCGAGGGGGAAACCUUGAUGAAAGAAUGUAAAAAAUCGUGCACUGGAAGGUUAAUUGUACAUGUAGUAACUGAUUCUUAAAGAACACAUUUAAUACAACAAAUUAUUUAAAAACUGUUAAGAAAAAGUUUAAUUAACAAUUUACUUAUUUGUCACGAGCUUCACGUGCUCUGUGUUGAUUGUUUAUCAAUGUCACGACCCGGUAAACUUCGACAACACACUCAAAAGAUAAUUAACUUUCUAUCAACAAUCACUGAAUAAAAUAUUAUUUGUUGAUUAUAUGUUAUAGAUUCGUAAUAGAUAUAAAAAAAAAAAAAUGUGCAUGCAGGACUUGGUUUAGUAUAUUUGCAUUCAUUGGUUCAAUCAUUUAGAUAACAUUAAAAUUACAAGAAACUCGUUUCAUAUGACUUUAAUGUUAUCAUUUUGAUAUAUUAAGGGUAUCAUUUUAAUAUAUUGUGCUUAACAUUUUAAUAGAUUGUGUCUAACAUUUUAAUAAACACAUGUAUUGUGCUUAACAUUUUACAGUUUAUGUUUAUAAUGAUGUUUAAAUAUGAUUAUAUAGAAUAAAUUAUUUAACUUUCA